AUGCCCGCCGUACCGCCCACCGUCAUCAACUCCAUCUGCCGCAACAACGUCUACCUCAAGAGGGGCCUUGCCACCCCCGUCGGCAGAGGCGUCUCCGCCCUCAACAUGCAGCUCCGCAAGGAGCUCGCCCUCUUCACCUCCCUCGUACAGUGA
rnacentral:rRNA from 1 species